rnacentral:rRNA from 1 species
AACGAACGCUGGCGGCAUGCCUAACACAUGCAAGUCGAACGAGACCUUCGGGUCUAGUGGCGCACGGGUGCGUAACGCGUGGGAACCUGCCCUUAGGUUCGGAAUAACUCCCCGAAAGGGGUGCUAAUACCGGAUAAUGUCUUCGGACCAAAGAUUUAUCGCCUUUGGAUGGGCCCGCGUUGGAUUAGCUAGUUGGUAGGGUAAAAGCCUACCAAGGCGACGAUCCAUAGCUGGUCUGAGAGGAUGAUCAGCCACACUGGGACUGAGACACGGCCCAGACUCCUACGGGAGGCAGCAGUGGGGAAUAUUGGACAAGGGGCGAAAGCCUGAGCCAGCAAUGCCGCGUGAGUGAUGAAGGCCUUAGGGUUGUAAAGCUCUUUUAACCGGGAUGAUAAUGACAGUACCGGGAGAAUAAGCUCCGGCUAACUCCGUG